CCGAGUUAGUUUUGGGUAAACCGAAACACUCUUCACCCUUGCUUAAACGUCAAGUUGCUUCGGCAGGCCUACAGUCGGCUUUCAGCGGGCUAGCACCUGCCGAAGAUUAUGCUCUUUAUACCUUUUAUUACGUAAAAAAAAUAAACAAA
rnacentral:misc_RNA from 1 species